UUAACUCAAAUUUUAUGGAGAUCAAACGUUUGCCUACAUUUGUCGCUAGGGGCGCUGUUCCAACUCCAUACAAAUUUGAGUUA
rnacentral:pre_miRNA from 1 species